rnacentral:lncRNA from 1 species
CCCACCCCAAGAUUCUACCCUGGAAAAUGCGUGCUUAGUUGAAAUUAUUACGAAGUUCAGCUAGAAGUUUCCUUCAGUCAGAAAUUGUUUCCCUGGGCUUCCUUGGAACUGGGAGUGCCUCAAGGCUCUUCUUGCUGCUGCUUCUUCUUUUAUAUUUUGCUUGGCUCUCUAAAUUUGUUUCAGCUCUAGGUAAGGUUAAAUCCUUCUCCCAUGAUCUGGAUUUUCAGGCUCCCCUGCGAAGAUGUGUGUUUGGGGCAGACUUUCCCCCUCUCACACUUUGGACACUCAACGAUUUUGUGGCUGUCUCUAGGAGUUUGCAGUGGUUUUGGAAUCAGGAUAAUGCUGACCUCAUAGAAUGAGUUGGGAAGGGAUCCCUCCUCCUUAAUUUUUUUGGAAUAGUAUCAGUAGAAAUGGUACCAGCUCUUCUGUGUAAACCUGGUUUGGGGACUGGAACAGAUCCACUACUGGCCUCCUUGCUCCUCAACUUGUAGACAGCCUGCCUAUCGUGGGACUUCACCUUGUGAUCCUAUGUCACACUGGUUUAUUACACUGAUGACAUUAUGCUGAUUGGACCCAGUGAGCAAGAAGUAGCAAACACACUGGACUUACUGGUAAGAUGUUUGUGUACCAUGGUAUGGAAAAUAAAUCUGACUAAAAUUCAGGGAACUUUUACUUCAGUGAAAUUUCUAGGGGUUCAGUGGUGUCAGGACUGUCGAGAUAUUCCUUCUAAGGUGAAGGAUAAGUCGCUGCAUUUGGACUCUCCUACAACCAAGAAAGAGGCACAAUGCCUAGUGGGCCUCUUUGGAUUCUGGAGGCAACACAUUCCUCAUUUGAGUGUGUUAUUCCAGUCCAUUUAUUGAGUGACCUCAAAGGCGGCCAAAUUUGAGUGGGGUCCAGAACAGGAGAAGGCUCUGCAAAAGGUCCAGGCUCCUGUGCAAGCUGCUCUGCCACUUGGGCCAUAGGACCCAGCAGAUCCAAUGAUACUUGAAGUGUCAGUGGCAGAUAAGGAUGUUGUUUGGAGCCUUUUUCAGGCCCAAAUAGUUGAAUCACAGCAGUGGCCUCUAGGAUUUUGGAGCAAGGCCCUGCCAUCUUCUUCAGAUAAGUACUCUCCUUUUGAGAGACAGCUCUUGGCUUGUUAGUAAGCUUUGGUAGAAACAGAAUGUUUGACGAUGGGUCAUCAAGUCACCAUGCAACCUGACCUGCCUAUCAUGAACUGAGUGCUUUCUGACCUAUCUAGCCAUAAAGUGGGGUAUGGACAGCGGCAUUUCAUCAUCAAAUGGAAGUUGUAUAUAAGUAACUGGGCUCAAGCAGGUCCAAAGGCACAAAGAAGUUACAUGAGGAAGUGGCUCAAAUGCCCAUGGUCUCCACUCCUGCCACCAUGCCUUCUCUCCCCCAGCCUGCACUGACAGCCUCAUGGGGAGUUCCCCAUGAUCAGUUAACAGAGGAAGAGAAGACUAGGGCCUGGUUUACAGAUUGUUCUGCAUGAUAUGCAGGCAUCAGCCAAAAGUGGACAGCUGCCCCACUACAACCCCUUUCCAGAAUAUCUCUGAAGGAUGGUGGUGAAAAGAAAUCUUCCCAGUGGGCAGAACUUUGAGCAGUGCGCCUUGUUGUGCACUUUGGAUGGAAGAAGAAAUGGCCAAGUGUAUGAUUAUGUACUGAUUCAUGGGCUGUAGCCAAUGGUUUGACUGGAUGGUCAAGGACUUGGAAGAAGCAUGAUUGGAAAAUCGGUGACUGUAUUAGUCAGUUCCCACACUGUUAAUAAAGACAUACCUGAGAUGGAUAAUUUAUAAAGGAAAGAGGUUUAAUUGACACACAGUUCAGCAUGGUUGGGGAGGCCUCAGAAAUUUGAUGAAAUCAAUCAAUUAUGGUGAAAGGGGAAGUAAACACAUCCUUCUUCACAUGACAAAAGCAAGGAGAAGAAUGAGAGGUGAGUAAAGAAGGAAGCCCCUUCUAAAACCAUCAGAUCUCGUGAGAAUGUACUCACUAUCACAAGAAUAGGAAUAGCAUUGGGAAACUGCCCCAUUAUUCAAUUACCUCCCACGGGGUCCCUCCCAUAGCACAUGGGGAUUACGGGAGCUACAAUUCAAGAUGAGAUUUGGUUGGGGAUACAGCUAAACUAUAUCAGUGGCAAAGAAAUUGGAGAAGAGGUAUGUGGAUGGACAUCUCUGAGUGGUCAAAAAUUGAAUAUAUUUGAUAUGGUUUGGUUGUGUUCCCACCCAAAUCUCGAAUUGUAGCUCCCAUAAUUCCCACGUGUCAUGGGAGAAACCCAGUGAGAGGUAAUUGACUCAUGGGGGCAGGCCUUUACUCUGAGAUUCUUAUGAUAGUGAAUAAGUUUCAUGAGAUCCAAUGGUUUUAUAAAAGGGGGUUCACCUGCAAAUGUUAUCUUGCCUGCCACCAUGUAAGAUGUGAUGUUGCUCCUCAUUUGUCUUCCACCAUGAUUUGAGGCCUCCCAAAACACAUGGAACUGUGAGUCAAUUAAACCUCUUCUCUUUAUACAUUACCCAGUCUCAGGUGUCUUUAUUAGCAGCUGGAGAACAGAUUAAUACAGUAAAUUGGUAAGAGGAGUGGGGUGCUGUUGUAAAGAUUCCCCAAAAUGUGAAAGUGACUUUACAACUGGGUAACAGGCAGAGAUUGAAACAGUUUGGAGGGCUCAGAAGAAGACAGAAAGACAUGGAAAAGUUUGGAAUUUCCUAGAGACUCAUUGAAUGGCUUUGACCAAAAUGCUGUCAGUGAUAUGAAUAAUGAAAUCCAG